UAGCUUAGUCCGUAAAGCACUUGUAUAGCAUAUAAGGGUCGUGAGUUAAAAUCUCAC
rnacentral:tRNA from 1 species